rnacentral:rRNA from 1 species
AGAGUUUGAUCAUGGCUCAGGACGAACGCUGGCGGCGUGCUUACACACGCAAGUCGAACGGAAAGGCCCUGCUUGUGGGGGUGCUCGAGUGGCGAACGGGUGAGUAACACGUGAGUAACUGCCCUGACUUGGGAUACUCAGGAAACUGGGGCUAAUACCGGAUAGGAGCUCUGCUGCAUGGUGGGGGUUGGAAAGUUUAGGCGGUUGGGGAUGGACUCGCGGCUUAUCAGCUUGUUGGUGGGGUAGUGGCUUACCAAGGCUUUGACGGGUAGCCGGCCUGAGAGGGUGACCGGCCACAUUGGGACUGAGAUACGGCCCAGACUCCUACGGGAGGCAGCAGUGGGGAAUAUUGCACAACGGGCGGAGGCCUGAUGCAGCAACGCCGCGUGCGGGAUGACGGCCUUCGGGUUGUAAACCGCUUUCGCCUGUGACGAAGCGUGAGUGACGGUAAUGGGUAAAGAAGCACCGGCUAACUACGUGCCAGCAGCCGCGGUGAUACGUAGGGUGCGAGCGUUGUCCGGAUUUAUUGGGCGUAAAGGGCUCGUAGGUGGUUGAUCGCGUCGGAAGUGUAAUCUUGGGGCUUAACCCUGAGCGUGCUUUCGAUACGGGUUGACUUGAGGAAGGUAGGGGAGAAUGGAAUUCCUGGUGGAGCGGUGGAAUGCGCAGAUAUCAGGAGGAACACCAGUGGCGAAGGCGGUUCUCUGGGCCUUUCCUGACGCUGAGGAGCGAAAGCGUGGGGAGCGAACAGGCUUAGAUACCCUGGUAGUCCACGCUGUAAACGGUGGGUACUAGGUGUGGGGUCCAUUCCACGGGUUCCGUGCCGUAGCUAACGCUUUAAGUACCCCGCCUGGGGAGUACGGCCGCAAGGCUAAAACUCAAAGGAAUUGACGG